GACGAACGCUGGCGGCGCGCUUAAUGCAUGCAAGUCGAGCGGGGCUCCGCAAGGAGUUCAGCGGCAGACGGCUGAGUAACGCGUGAGUGACCUGCCCUGGAGAGGGGAAUAACACCGAGAAAUCGGUGCUAAUACCGCGUACGUUGCGCUGGAUAGAUCCGGCGCAGGAAAGAAGCGGGGUAACCCGUCUUCGCUCCAGGAGGGACUCGCGUCCUAUCAGGUAGUUGGCGGGGUAACGGCCCACCAAGCCUAAGACGGGUAGCCGGAGUGAGAGCUUGUACGGCCAGAGGGGGACUGAGAU
rnacentral:rRNA from 1 species